CAGUCUUGGAAAUUUCUUUCAGCCUGUUAGCACGAUAAACUCUCCUAGAAGGAUGGACAGAUGAGCAACAUUUGGAGAAUCUGUAUUUCACAAGCAAGCACAUGUCUAACCAGCUAUACGGUCCUGCAGCACUGCUAGUGGCCACGAGAAAUUGGGAAGCUGAAAGCAGUCUGAGGCUGAAAAGGAGAAGGCGCUAUAAUCUACCAAGGAAAACAGCAGAACUUCACUUUUAUUUGGAGCAAGGAGAGGUGAUGGCUGGCUAUUUCUUCGUCUUCCCAUCUACUAUUGUAGCCUUUAAGAAAGGAUUGGAAAAAA